rnacentral:rRNA from 1 species
UACGAAGGGGGCUAGCGUUGCUCGGAAUCAUUGGCGUAAAGCGCGUGUAGGCGGCCUUGUAAGUCCGUUCUGAAAGCCCGGGGCUCAACCCCGGGAGGCGGGAUGGAUACUGCAAGGCUCGAGUACGGAAGAGGCGAAGUGGAAUUCCCUGUGUAGCGGGUGAAAGUGCGUAGAGAUGGGGGAGAACACUCGUGGCGAAGGCGGCCGAGCUAGACCAGUUCUGACACUGAGGCGCGACAGCGUGGGGAGCAAACAGGA